UCGACCAAAGAAGAAGAAAAGAAGGGGGAACUUUCUCAAACCCUAAAUCAACAAAUUGAAAGGCUAAUUGGGGCUAUAAUUCGUGCAUGAAUCAAGAUAAUCAAUCAUCCAUACUUGUCUAACAUAAGUAUAGGGAUCAUGUCAAGAUGGAUGGAAGUACGGAAGGCUAACGGGCCAGGAGGACACAAGGAAGUGAACGCAAAUACGGAUGCGUAAGGUAAGUUAAUUCUAGAUUUACCCUUUAGUUUUAUAAUGUAUUGUUGUAUGGUAAUUAUUGUGUGUUAUGUAAGAAUGUAUGAAUGUAUGAAUAAAUGGUAGUACUAAGGUAAGUUUUUGUGGAAAUGAGUCGAAAGUGGUUAAGAAAGGGUUUCCAUCAUGUAUGGGUAAGAAAGGAAAUUACUAGUUGAUAUCAUGCUUAAAGAUGAAAUAACUAGUUAUACAUGUGGGUAUGAGUUGAUUGAUGAAAGUAAUUGGAACUCGUAGGAGAGUAUGUCUAUGAACACGUAAGGGUGGAGAAUUAUAUGUAUGUGAUUUACAUGUAUUAGACGUGUGUGUUUAGGACUUGGAUGUUAUGUUGUGUAAGAUGUAAAUUGUAGGUAUGUGUACGAAUAAAAGGGUAUAUAUGCAUGAAUUGGGAUUUGAUUAUAUGCAUGAAUGAAUGAGACUUGUUUAUGCGUAUAUGUGGACUUACUCAUAUGAAUGAAAUCUAAUAAUGCUAACCGUUUUCCUAUAGAGAAUGAAAUGGAAGUGCAGGUAUACUAAAAAUGGAAAUUGAAGGUUUGACAAGGAAAUCCAACGAUGGUGUUCGAAUGGAUGGACGAAUGGAUUAACAUAAGCAAAAGCAUGAGAUGUUGUACAAAAUUAUAGGUUCUCAUCAUGGAGUGUAAGCGGUCGAAGAUCGAGUCAAGACAUGGAUUGUACGCGUGUGUGUGGUGACGUAAUUUAAUAUAAGUGUGUCCGGUUUUAUUCAACUUAUAGAAAGGUGGAAUGAUUUAAUGUAUUUCCAAGUAUGUUGGAAUGAAUAUAAUG